rnacentral:misc_RNA from 1 species
GAUGAAGAACGCAGCGAAAUGCGAUAAGUAGUGUGAAUUGCAGAAUUCAGUGAAUCAUCGAAUCUUUGAACGCACAUUGCGCCCCUUGGUAUUCCAUGGGGCAUGCCUGUUCGAGCGUCAUUUGUACCUUCAAGCUCUGCUUGGUGUUGGGUGAUUGUCUAUCUUUGUAGACUCGCCUUAAAGUCAUUGGCAGCCGGCAUAUUGGCCUGGGAGCGCAGCACAAGUCGCGCUUCUUGUCAUGAAUGUUGGCGUCCAGUAAGUCUACAUAUUUUGCUCUUGACCUCGGAUCAGGUAGGGAUACCCGCUGAACUUAAGCAUAUCAAUAAGCGGAGAA